rnacentral:rRNA from 1 species
GAUAAACGCUGGCGGCGUGCAUAACACAUGCAAGUCGAACGAAGUGGCGAACGGGUGAGUAACACGUGAGUAACCUGCCUUACACAAGGGGAUAGCCUUUGGAAACGAAGAAUAAUACCCUAUAGUGUAAGAUGGACUUGCGUCUGAUUAGCUAGUUGGUGAGAUAAAAGCCCACCAAGGCGACGAUCAGUAGCCGGCUUGAGAGAGGGGACUGCCACAUUGGGACUGAGACACGGCCCAAACUCCUACGGGAGGCAGCAGUGGGGAAUUUUGCACAAUGGGGGAAACCCUGAUGCAGCGACGCCGCGUGGGGGAUGAAGGCUUUCGGGUUGUAAACCUCUUUCGCUAUCGAACGGGUAGGUGGAGAAGAAGCGCCGGCUAACUACGUGCCAGCAGCCGCGGUAAUAC